UGUGGGUAAUGGAGAGAAGAUUCAUCUAAGACAGCAUGCACAUGAAAUGGUUUUUGUGAGGCUUUCUGUAAUCUGUUAGUUUUUCCAUGGUCUGAAGCUUCUGCUCAACUGAGAAAACUGGAAAGUUCAGAGGAAGCUUAUUGUAAUAUGGCUUUCACAAGUUGAAAACACCUGUGUUUUCUCCUCUGGUCCCUGACACCUGGGAAGGAGAUAAAGAUGGUCAGCCUAUGCAUCUGCUUCCAGAACAAUCUAGAAGGUCUCUGAGGUGGCAGGACACCACUGGUAGACUGCUACAAGUUUCUUAACAAGAAACUGGGAAUGAGACAAGUGUUUGUGUAGAAACCAGAUUACACUGGCACCAAGCACCAACUAAAACAAGGUCUAAACAUGGGUAUUAGCAAGUUUUACACCAUGUGAAGACUCACCCUCCACAUUGUAAUGCUGAUGAAGGCUGAUCAUAUUUCCCUACUGCAAUUUCAACAACUGUAAGAACGAUGUAAUAAUUAUAGUAUUGACUUGUGUACCUUAAAGGGAUUUUGAGGGGAUCAGUAGUGUUUGUAAUGUGCUCUGAAAUUGAUGCUUUAAGGGCUGUUAGAAAGCUGCCUUUCUGAUAGCCUGACAUAUUUUCAGACAGUAGCACUGCAGCUGUGUUAAGCCAUUGAGCAAGCUAACCCAUAUAAAACAUCUAAAUAAUAAAAUUCACCAAAAAUAACUUCAAAAGCACCUCUUCAUUUGGUGAUGCACUGAGAAAUGGAGAUCCAUUUUAUGUGACUAAAUACAUCAUUCAUCAGUCUGGACUUCAGCUGGAACGUACUAGUAAAGAGCUGAGAGAUAUCAGCCUCACUGCUGUAUCAGUGCUGAAUGCUGCUAUGCACAGUGACAGUAGUGCUGAGAGCCUGGCAACUUCUCUUCAUAAAAUGGUGGGCCUCAUUCAGCUCUUUCUUACAUCUGUGUAAAUCCAUGGUAGCACUAUGAAAAUGAAGGCAGUCUUUUGCAUCAGUGUGACUGAGUUAUGGCCCAGAUCCUUGAAGGAGCUUGGCAGAUCUAAAACAAACUUCGCAGAGAUUAGACAAUAAUUUAAGUGUCCAGGUUCAUGGCUAGUGAGUAACUGCCCUGUCAUGAGGAGGAGAAUUCAUGAUAUUCAACACUGUACCAGAUGACUGAGUUUGCAGUUACCAGGAAACACCUACUAUACACCCUUGUCCAGCAGCCUCAAAAUUCUUCUGUCCCUGUAGUCAUGAUACUUUAUAAUGUCAAAAUUUGCCUGUAGUUCACAUCAAAGUGAAAAAAAAACUUUAGUUUGCUUUAGUUAUUUUAAGUUCAUCUGACAACUCAGAGGCUACACAGAGUUGUUCGGGAAUGAUUCAAAUAUAAUGUUUCACUUUUAUUGCUCUUUUAAAUUAUUCUAAAAUACAGUUAAAUACUAUAGAUGCAAUAUUACUCUGAAUAUAAAAAUGCAGUAGAAAAUAAAUAAAAAUAAAUCUUUCACAGUUUUUUUGUUGUAGCUACUCUGAGUUGAACUAUCAGGUAA